GGCAAGAUGGCCGAGCAUGGUUCAUGGCGCUACGUUCAGGUCGUAGUGGAGCAAUCCUCCUGGGUUCAAAUCCCAGUCUUGUCA
rnacentral:tRNA from 1 species